UACGAGGGGUGCAAGCGUUGCUCGGAAUUAUUGGGCGUAAAGGGUAGGUAGGUGGUCUCAUUUGUCUGGGGUGAAAGCCUUGAGCUUAACUCAAGAAGUGCCCCGGAAACGGUGAGACUGGAGUCCUGGAGAGGGUCGUGGAAUUCCUGGUGUAGCGGUGAAAUGCGCAGAUAUCAGGAGGAACACCGAUGGCGAAGGCAGGUCGUCUGGGCCAUAACUGACGCUGAGAAGCGGAAAGCAUGGGGAGCGAAC
rnacentral:rRNA from 1 species